rnacentral:rRNA from 1 species
GUAGGUGGCAAGCGUUGUCCGGAAUUAUUGGGCGUAAAGCGCGCGCAGGCGGUUCUUUAAGUCUGAUGUGAAAGCCCACGGGCUCAACCGUGGAGGGUCAUUGGAAACUGGAGAACUUGAGUACAGAAGAGGAAAGCGGAAUUCCACGUGUGGCGGUGAAAUGCGUAGAGAUGUGGAGGAACACCAGUGGCGAAGGCGGCUUUCUGGUCUGUAACUGACGCUGAGGCGCGAAAGCGUGGGGAGCAAACAGGAUUAGAUACCCUGGUAGUCCACGCCGUAAACGAUGAGUGCUAAGUGUUAGGGGGUUUCCGCCCCUUAGUGCUGCAGCUAACGCAUUAAGCACUCCGCCUGGGGAGUACGGCCGCAAAGGCUG